CAACGGAGAAAGACCACCGGGAUUGCCUCAGUACGGCGAGUGAAGCGGCAAAAGCUCAAAUUUGAAAUCUGCGUAAGCCGAGUUGUAAUUUGAAGAUGGCUACUUUGGUAAUGGCUCUUGUCUAUGUUCCUUGGAACAGGACGUCACAGAGGGUGAGAAUCCCGUGCGAUGAGAUGUCCAUUACCGUGUAAAGUGCUUUCGAAGAGUCGAGUUGUUUGGGAAUGCAGCUCUAAGUGGGUGGUAAAUUCCAUCUAAAGCUAAAUAUUGGCGAGAGACCGAUAGCGAACAAGUACAGUGAUGGAAAGAUGAAAAGAACUUUGAAAAGAGAGUGAAAAAGUACGUGAAAUUGUUGAAAGGGAAGGGCUUGAGAUCAGACUUGGUAUUUUGUAUGGCUUGCUUUCGGGCGGGUCCUCUGCAGUUUACUGGGCCAGCAUCGGUUUGGGUGGCAGGAUAAUAGCAUAGGAAUGUGGCUCUACUUCGGUGGAGUGUUAUAGCCUUUGUUGAUACUGCCUGCCUAGACCGAGGACUGCGUCUUUUGACUAGGAUGCUGGCAUAAUGAUCCUAAGCCGCCCGUCUUGAAACACGGACCAAGGAGUCUAACGUCUAUGCGAGUGUUUGGGUGUAAAACCCGUACGCGGAAUGAAAGUGAACGUAGAUGAGAGYCUUUUAGGCGCAUCAUCGACCGAUCCUGAUGUCUUCGGAUGGAUUUGAGUAACAGCAUAGCUGUUGGGACCCGAAAGAUGGUGAACUAUGCCUGAAUAGGGUGAAGCCAGAGGAAACUCUGGUCGAGGCUCGUAGCGGUUCUGACGUGCAAAUCGAUCGUCUAAUUUGCGUAUAGGGGCGAAAGACUAAUCGAACAUCUAGUAGCUGGUUCUGCGAAAAUUUCCCCCCCAG
rnacentral:rRNA from 1 species